AUUGAACGCUGGCGGCAUGCCUUACACAUGCAAGUCGAACGGUAACAGGUCUUCGGAUGCUGACGAGUGGCGAACGGGUGAGUAAUACAUCGGAACGUGCCCGAUCGUGGGGGAUAACGAAGCGAAAGCUUUGCUAAUACCGCAUAAGAUCUACGGAUGAAAGCAGGGGACCGCAAGGCCUUGCGCGAACGGAGCGGCCGAUGGCAGAUUAGGUAGUUGGUGGGAUAAAAGCUUACCAAGCCGACGAUCUGUAGCUGGUCUGAGAGGACGACCAGCCACACGGGGACGGAGACCCGCCCCAGACCCCGCCGGGAGGAGGCAGGGGGGUAUUUGGGACAAUGGGGGAAGGCUUGCUCCACCCUUGCCGCGGGAAGGAGAAAGGCUUUGGGUUUUAAAGCUUUUUUUGUCCGAAACAAAAAGUCUCUGUUAAACACCGGGGUCCCAGGAGGGUACCUAAAAAAAAGACCCCGCCUAGCUCCGUC
rnacentral:rRNA from 1 species